rnacentral:rRNA from 1 species
AUACGUAGGUGGCAAGCGUUGUCCGGAAUUACUGGGUGUAAAGGGAGCGCAGGCGGGGAGACAAGUCAGCUGUGAAAUGUAUGGGCUUAACCCAUAAAUUGCAGUUGAAACUGUUUUCUUGAGUGGAGUAGAGGUAGGCGGAAUUCCGAGUGUAGCGGUGAAAUGCGUAGAUAUUCGCAGGAACACCAGUGGCGAAGGCGGCUCACUGGUCCAUUACUGACGCUGAGGUGCGAAAGCGUGGGGAGC